rnacentral:rRNA from 1 species
AGCAGUCGCCGCGGUAAUACCGAGGGUGCGAGCGUUAAUCGGAUUUACUGGGCGUAAAGCGUGCGUAGGCGGCUUUUUAAGUCGGAUGUGAAAUCCCCGGGCUUAACCUGGGAACUGCAUUUGAAACUGGCAGGCUAGAGUCUUGUAGAGGGGGGUAGAAUUCCAGGUGUAGCGGUGAAAUGCGUAGAGAUCUGGAGGAAUACCGGUGGCGAAGGCGGCCCCCUGGACAAAGACUGACGCUCAGGUGCGAAAGCGUGGGGAGCAAACAGGAUUAGAUACCCCUGUAGUCCCUGUCUCUUAUAC